rnacentral:tRNA from 1 species
GAGGGUAUAGCUCAAGUGGUAAAGCACAUGCUUGGCAUGCAUGAGGUCCUGGGUUCAAUCCCCAGUAUCUCCU